GUAAUGAAAUGUUAUGUGAAUGGCAAUUAUGAUAUUUAGCAUAUUGGUCUUGGCUCUCUCCAACAAGUAUGUGUGCUUUUAGUUCUUUGAUUGGUGGUGGUGGUUAGGCCAUCACUCAUUGCAUUUUUAUCUAUGAACAUUUAAAUAUAAAUUUGUUUGAAAGGCUUCUUGUAGUUUUGGUUACAUUAUGGCAUUGCAAUUGGCAUAAGCUCAAGCUUUUUUCAGCAAGUUUCUAUUUUCCCC
rnacentral:misc_RNA from 1 species